rnacentral:lncRNA from 1 species
UCACUAUAUACAAUGUGUGAAAUAGCAUAUAACAAUGGAUCACACAUUCUCAGCAACCUCCUGCAUUUAGGUAUAUUGCACGAGGUGGGAAGGUCAAGGGUCAAGGCUCCGGCAUCCUACCAGCCCGAGGUUGUCAAGGCAUUUGAUUUGAGGUAGAAACGCCGCAAUAUCAUGAAGAAUGUGAGCCAUGUUUGCAACUGGGUAUGCUCUUUCUUAUUUUUCAAUUCCUGCCACUUCCAGUGCAGCUGUCAUUGAAGCCGAUGCCUCUUCAAGCGUUCGUUUCUUCUGCUUCUUGUUGAAGGCCUGGACAAUGUCUCCCACCUCCCAAUCAUUGUAGUCUUCCAUUCCCAUCCCACACUCUAGUCCAGCAUUUACCUGUCCAGACCCGGAAGAAGGGAGGCGUUACUAUGGAAACAUUUUGACUGCAAAUUUAGUAUCAGUGGACAGUGUAUCACCAAAACUUCAGGUCAGGAAAAUGCAAAGAGAGCCUACACUAUAUAUGAAAAUCUCCAGGAAAAUGAAAUUUACAACUACUAUGCUGGAUAUGAACAUGGUCCAUGAGAUAGAUUUGCAUACUCUAAUGCCCCCAACUAGACAAGAUUUCCCCACAUAUGAAGUUGUUAUACAAACAACGGUGACCCGGCAUUCGAUGGUAGGGUGCUUGUUAACCCCACCUACCACUUUAAUUAAAGCCAUCAUACAAGUUACUCCAUAUAAUUAAUUAAAAAAAUUAGGAGUUUGUGUAUGAGUUUCAAUCAAGACUACUAGAUUCCAUUCUAUAAGUUAGUGCACAAAUAGCUCCUACUGUGAAUAAAAUGACGGAAAACCGCCAUAUGUAUUUAAAGGGAAUAUACCCGACAUGACAAGAGACUGUUAUAUAAGUCCAAUAUCUUUGAUAGCAAUAAGCAUGACAAAAAAAACCUAUGGGGUGAGGUACCAGUGGGAAUCCGCUCAUAAUGGGAUGAAGACGAGGAAGCAAUAAUUGGGAAUGGGGUUCAGGGUUAGGAAAAUUUCAUAAACCCAAAACAGGGACUAGGACAGUAUUCCCAGCCCCAAACCUGUCAUCAUCCUCAUCCCUAUCCCCAUAUAUAUAUAUAUUAUUAUAUUAUAUUUAAAAAAAUAAUAUACUAGAUAUAAUUUAAAAUUUAGAAAAUAUUAAAAAAAUACAUAUUUAUAUUAAAUAUAUUAAUUUAUACAUAAUUUUAUAUUUAUAUAAAAUUUACGGGAAUUUGCCAUUGGAGAUGGGGAUUUUGUCCUCCCAACGGGGAUUCCUCACCCCCACCCCUCCUAGGCUAAGAUGAGGAAUGGGGUGGGAACGGGUAAUAAAUUUACAAGUAGGGACGAGAUGGAGGAUCCCUCCUCGACCCUACUCCAUUUGCAUCCCUAGAUAGCAAUGCCCGAUCUCCUCUUUCUUUCCCCAUUUAGUGUAACUCAUGCUUACAUUAGCUUACAUAAUUUUACAUACAAAAAAAUAAGAGUAAAUAAAAUAUUAUCAUAUGCUAAAGCAGAUACAAGUUAUAUGCAACAUAAAUCUAAAUUAUGGAAAUACAGACUAUAUUUAAAGGGAAAAUACCUGACCUAGGUAUAUGAUAACACAGGUUUCUUUGGUUUCAUAAUUACACAAUUCAACAUGCUUUGGGUUCCAAGGAAAGUAUCACAACAAAGAUAGCCAAUCAACCAUAUGCAUGAAUUUUCCAGAAAAACCUGAUAUGUAGAAGGGUAAACCAUGGACAUGCCCACAAGCCACAUUCAUUCUGAGGACUUACCUCUUUCACAAUUUCUUUAACUCGUCUCAAAGAAUCAAGAGUACCAACAUAGACUGCCCUGCCAUCUCGUACCACCCGAAUGCCACAACCUUUCUCUACCUUUCCCUCCUUUACCAUGCAACCAGCAAUCCGGCCACUGCCGCUGGUGAAUGUGGCCCGAACUUCUGCUGUGCCAAUUGUUAUUUCUUCCUGCCAGAAUGAAGUAGCUUUAAACUGUAAAGUUUCACUAAUAGAGAACUUAGCAAUUGUAAGAGCAAAGUGCAUGCCCCUAAACUUCAAUGCCUCAAACUAGGAAUAAACCUGUUUAAAUUUGAGAGAUAUAUCAAUCUUUCUCUGGGCAGUCUAUUAAUUAGAUAGGUAAUGGAAAACGUAAGAAUAAGAAAGUUGCAAGCAAACAAUCCAAAACACUGAUUAAGCAAUCGUUUGUCAAAUUAGCAAAGGGAAUGGAACACAGAUUCAUGCAAGUUCAUGGGCCACAAAGUUUGUCCUUCCAUUUGAUUUAACUUUACCUCAACAGCAUCCAGGAGUCCUUCCAUUGCAUUCCGCACAUCAUCAAUAAGAUCAUAAAUAACUUUGUACAGUCGAAUCUCUACCCCUUUGGUGUCAGCAUAACUCUUAACAGAGCCAGGUGCUCUAACAUUAAAUCCUAUAACAAUAGCCUUGCUAGCAACUGCAAGAUCAAUAUCACUAGCACUUAUAUCCCCGGUUGCUUGGAGGAGGAACUUUAAAGCGACAUUAUCUUGAGGAAGCACCUGUAAGGCUUGCCUCACAGCCUCAAUGGAACCCUAGUCAAGAUUAAGAAAUGUAAAUAUAAUUGCAGGUGAAAACACAAAUAGAAUUGAUGAAUGAUAAACACAUUAUAUAGGUAACAUCAAUACAACACUGCAGCUGAUUACCAGCAACAGCUGUGUGUUUGUGGGGGUAACUAAUCGCUGUCCUUCAACAAAAUGAUUCAAUACUGAGAAAUGUAAGACCUUACAUUGGAAAAUAAAUUUGAAUAGCUAUAUGACAAUCAGAUUGAUUUAAACUUCAAUAUUGCUUAUAAAAUCUUGAAAUAAAGAAAGCAAUAUAGAACAGACACUUCAACACAGGAGUUUUCCUCAUGUUAGACACUGCUUUGACAUGUGUCAGAAAUGGCACUCUUCCAGCAUGCCAACACGUGUUCAACACUCCUCAAACAUGUCCAUUGACAUCAUAAACAUAGCCAACAGAUUGGAGAUACAUGGAGCAUAUGUCAAGAACUGUCACUUUUUUUAAUAAAAUAGCAAGAAGGGCACUAGAAGUAUUUUGCUGCCUGUCAUCAUUUUUCCCCAGCAUUUUCUUCACAUGAAUGGAAAUCCGUUGAUGACAUUCCUUUUUAGAGGAGAAAAUCAAGUAAAUUUUUUUAAGUGGCUAGGACCCUGCUGUCUGAUUGGUGAAGUUGGAUGGUGAAGAAAAAAUUGUGAAGUGCAAAAUCGGUAUCAAAUUUAUUAUUUGUCAUCCAUAUACAUUAUGACAAAAAAGUAAAUCCAUAGAUUGCCAUGUNNNNNNNNNNNNNNNNNNNNNNNNNNNNNNNNNNNNNNNNNNNNNNNNNNNNNNNNNNNNNNNNNNNNNNNNNNNNNNNNNNNNNNNNNNNNNNNNNNNNGGCCAAAAGACAAAAAACCGAUUGCCACAAGCCUACUUAGAACCCAACCAAUCAAUAAAAUUAGCUAUAGUUAGAGGGCAAUUGUCUAUGAACAACUUAGCCUCAGCCCAUAAGGUAAGAAUAAAAGAGUGUUUCAGUCUCUGAAUUGACACCGAUUCAUCCUUGAAAGUCAAUCGAUUCCUCUCCUUCCAAACCGUCCAAAAAAUAUGAAGAGGAGCAGCUCUCCACACCUUCUUGCGAUUUUUGCCCAUGAAAAAACCAUUCCAACUUAGAAGGGUCUCUCUAACUGAAAAAGGCAAAACCCAAGACACCCCAAAUAAAGCAAAGAGAAGAUCCCAUAGCGCCCUCGUCCUGGAACAAUGAAGAAGAAGGUGGUUUAUGGUCUCCUCUUUCUCAAGACACAUAAAACAUCUAUUCGCCAAGGCCCAUCCUCUUUUCUGGACUAGAUCCAAAGUUAAGGCUUUGCCCCACGUGGCCUCCCAUGCGAAGAAACUAAUCUUGGGCUGCACAUUCGCAUUCCAAAUAAAGCUUAAAGGAAACAAAGAUGAACCACCCGCUUCAAGAGCUAUGUAUAGAGACUUGACCGAGAAUUUACCGCUCUUGGUUUCAGUCCAGGAUACCGUAUCCUCCACAUCCUCAAUAACUCUUUUACUUUGAAUCCUCUCCAUAAAUCUUUCCGCCUCCUCAACCUCCCAGUCAUUGAACGCUCUUAAAAAACAGGGGUUCCAACCCCCCCAUCCCCCCUCAGCCAAGGGAUCCCAUAUAUCUGCCACCCACGCGUCCUUCUCAACUGUCAAAGCAAAAAGAGAGGGGAAGGUCAUACACAAAGGAGACUCCCCACACCAUCUAUCCCUCCAGAAGCUCACCCUUCUCCCAUUACCAACUAUGAAAGCCAACCUAUCACUCACCAACUUCCAAUCCGCCCUAAUUCCUUUCCACAAACCCAAACCAUGAGCCUCUCUCACUUCCCGCGAGCACCAUCCCCCUCUAGCUUCUCCAUACUUCCCUCUAAUCACUUGAUUCCACAAAGCCUCUCUCUCAUUUGCGAGACACCAAUUCCACUUAGCAAGAAGAGUCUUGUUAAGGAGGGAAAGGCUUUUGACCCCCAAGCCUCCUUUCGCCUUGCUUAAACACACCAACUCCCAUCUUACUAAGUGAGGCUUAUGUUCCAGAUUGCCCCCACCCCAUAGGAAAUCCCUUUGGAUUUUCUCUAAUCUCCGUCUAACUGAGCUUGGUAAGCACAACAAUGACAUUAAAUAGAUGGGUAAAUUCGAUAAUUAUACUACGAAUGAGAGUCGCCCUUCCUCCCUUGGACAAGUAUUGUCUCUUCCACAUAGUUAACCUUCUUCGAAAGCGCUCUUCCACACCAUCCCAAACUGUGACUGACUUAAAAGGAGCACCCAGGGGCAUCCCCAAAUAGGUGGUUGGAAGACUACCCAAACUACAACCAAACUCCCCAGCAAGAUCAUCCAUACUCUCCACCCUCCCUACUGGAAUUAAUUCACUUUUUUCCAAGUUUAUCCUCAAUCCUGAAGCAACCUCAAACCACAUGAGAAGCCAACUGAGGUAAGUUAACUGAUCUUGUGAAGGUUUACAAAACACCAGUGUAUCAUCAGCAAACAACAAGUGGGAAAUUAGGACCCCUUCUUCGCUCCGACCUUUUACCCUACAACCAGAUAAAAAAUCUCCCUCUACUGCCCUUUUAAUGAAAACACUAAAGACCUCCACAGCAAUGACAAAGAGGUAGGGGGAAAAGGGAUUGCCCUGCCUCAAACCCCUGGAGCUUUGAAAAAAGCCCGUAGGGGUUCCAUUGAUCAUCACUAAGAAACUUGCAGUGGAUAUGCACCACCAAAUCCACCUAAUCCAUUUCUCCCCAAAGCCCAUUUUCUUCAUGAUUGUGAGAAUAAAAUUCUAGUCCACUUUAUCAUACGCCUUCUCUAUAUCCAAUUUGCAUAAAAUGCCGCUCUCAUUAUUCUUAAGGGUCGAAUCAAUGGCUUCAUUGGCUAAUCACACUGCAUCUAGGAUUUGUC